GAAUGCUGACAUAAGUAACGAUAAAGCGGGUGAAAAGCCCGCUCGCCGGAAGACCAAGGGUUCCUGUCCAACGUUAAUCGGGGCAGGGUGAGUCGACCCCUAAGGCGAGGCCGAAAGGCGUAGUCGAUGGGAAACGGGUUAAUAUUCCCGUACUUGGUGUUACUGCGAAGGGGGGACGGAGAAGGCUAUGUUGGCCGGGCGACGGUUGUCCCGGUUUAAGCGUGUAGGUGUGUGUUCCAGGUAAAUCCGGUUCACUUUAACACUGAGGCGUGACGACGAGGCACUACGGUGCUGAAGCAACAAAUGCCCUGCUUCCAGGAAAAGCCUCUAAGCAUCAGGUAACAUCAAAUCGUACCCCAAACCGACACAGGUGGUCAGGUAGAGAAUACCAAGGCGCUUGAGAGAACUCGGGUGAAGGAACUAGGCAAAAUGGUGCCGUAACUUCGGGAGAAGGCACGCUGACACGUAGGUGAAGUGAUUUACUCAUGGAGCUGAAGUCAGUCGAAGAUACCAGCUGGCUGCAACUGUUUAUUAAAAACACAGCACUGUGCAAACACGAAAGUGGACGUAUACGGUGUGACGCCUGCCCGGUGCCGGAAGGUUAAUUGAUGGGGUCAGCGCAAGCGAAGCUCCUGAUCGAAGCCCCGGUAAACGGCGGCCGUAACUAUAACGGUCCUAAGGUAGCGAAAUUCCUUGUCGGGUAAGUUCCGACCUGCACGAAUGGCGUAAUGAUGGCCAGGCUGUCUCCACCCGAGACUCAGUGAAAUUGAACUCGCUGUGAAGAUGCAGUGUACCCGCGGCAAGACGGAAAGACCCCGUGAACCUUUACUAUAGCUUGACACUGAACAUUGAGCCUUGAUGUGUAGGAUAGGUGGGAGGCUUUGAAGUGUGGACGCCAGUCUGCAUGGAGCCGACCUUGAAAUACCACCCUUUAAUGUUUGAUGUUCUAACGUGGACCCGUUACCCGGGUUGCGGACAGUGUCUGGUGGGUAGUUUGACUGGGGCGGUCUCCUCCUAAAGAGUAACGGAGGAGCACGAAGGUUGGCUAAUCCUGGUCGGACAUCAGGAGGUUAGUGCAAUGGCAUAAGCCAGCUUGACUGCGAGCGUGACGGCGCGAGCAGGUGCGAAAGCAGGUCAUAGUGAUCCGGUGGUUCUGAAUGGAAGGGCCAUCGCUCAACGGAUAAAAGGUACUCCGGGGAUAACAGGCUGAUACCGCCCAAGAGUUCAUAUCGACGGCGGUGUUUGGCACCUCGAUGUCGGCUCAUCACAUCCUGGGGCUGAAGUAGGUCCCAAGGGUAUGGCUGUUCGCCAUUUAAAGUGGUACGCGAGCUGGGUUUAGAACGUCGUGAGACAGUUCGGUCCCUAUCUGCCGUGGGCGCUGGAGAACUGAGGGGGGCUGCUCCUAGUACGAGAGGACCGGAGUGGACGCAUCACUGGUGUUCGGGUUGUCAUGCCAAUGGCACUGCCCGGUAGCUAAAUGCGGAAGAGAUAAGUGCUGAAAGCAUCUAAGCACGAAACUUGCCCCGAGAUGAGUUCUCCCUGAGACUUAGAGUCUCCUGAAGGAACGUUGAAGACGACGACGUUGAUAGGCCGGGUGUGUAAGCGCAGCGAUGCGUUGAGCUAACCGGUACUAAUGAACCGUGAGGCUUAACCUUACAACGCCGAAG
rnacentral:rRNA from 4 species